AACGCACCUUGCGCUCUCUAGUUAUUCUGGAGAGCAUGCUUGUUUGAGUAUCGCGAACCUCUCAACCCCGCCAAAGGCUUUAUUGACUUUGGUUGUUUGGGCUUGGAUCAUGGUUGUUGUUGGCCUUUGGGUCUAACUCGACUGAAAUACAACAAGUUGAAUAGAAUUUAUUGCGGCUUGACCUGAUGUUGUAAACUACUCAUCGGGGACGCUUUAAAAAGUCUAAGGAACUUUAACAGAAACCCUUUUGCUCUAGUCGAGGAUCACUCUUUCGGGAGCCCUUACACUUUAGUACAUUUAUGAUCUCAAAUCAAGUAGGACUACCCGCUGAACUUAA
rnacentral:misc_RNA from 2 species